ACUUGGUCUCACCCCGAGAAAAUUCUACUCAACUGGGCUCAAUCGCACUCACUCGUGUUGGUCCGAGUGCGAGUAGACUCCCAAGUGGGUUUGCCAACCUAUGGCUGUAGCAACACUGGUUGUGGAGCGCAUAACGAAACAAAACUACACACCAAAUGCACUAUGUGGCCAAACACAAAUGACUACGGCUUCUAGCGACUCGGCAUGCAAGAAUGCUGGUUCAAGGCUACCAGAUAAAACAGCAACGGUGGUGGCUUCAAUUAAUACAAUUUCAGACCUACAGUCAGAAAUGUACAGUCUGACUCUGUACAAGUUCACAGCUUAUCUUAAUUUGUUACAUUUAAAAGGGUUAUUCAGAAAGUCGCUUAGAAAAUCACUUAGAAAGUCAUACUCACAAGUUAGUGGUGUAUUUUAGAGUGGCAUAUUAAUACAUUUUUGUCCUUGUUGGAUGUCAAUAGGUUCAGUUUGCAGAAUCGUGGUAUCGCACUUUACUGCAGAGUUUCAAUUGUAAAAUUUUUUUUUCUAAUUUUGUAAUUUUUAACAAUUUUGGUUAAUUAAUGUCUUAAUAAAAAAUCUGCUUUCCACACAUACUAGACUUGAAUGUUUUUCUUCUAAAGUUCAGCAAGCCUCAUCUAACUUGGUGCAGUGAAUGAUUUCUCUACAAGCUAAAGUUUCCACUUAAAAGUGAUCCAUUUACUCUAAUAUCCCCCUUUACCAUGUUCUAAUAUUUAGUCUCUGCAAGUUCACAAAUAUUCGUUUGCUGUGGGUGCCAGGCAACCGUGGUUUAUAAAUAAAAGACAGAUUUAAUAGCUGGAACAUCUCUCAGUGAACCUAUAAUGUUUAUUUUAGCUGAUACAGAUUAUGUCAGCGAGAAAACAUUUUUUUUUUCUUUUACAAAAUAGUAGAUUUCCUUUCUUUUUUUUUUCCUACAAAUUCAUCGCUGACAUUUAGAGAUUUUCAAGACCUCCGUUUCAGCUGGACAAACAAUGGUGUCCUCAUUGCAUACCCCAGGUAAACACUGUUGCAUCCUGCUCUUGAAAUUUUCACUUAAGUAGAUCGGUCCCAGCUAAUUAUCGUGCGACAAUAUUCAAGCCAGUGAAUAAAAUUUCUUGAAGCUCCACUUUGCCAGACUCGACUUCGAUUAAGUAUUGCUGAAGUGUACUAUCUGUGGGGCUUCAACACUUGGCUAUUACAUAAGGACAAUUGUUGCACUGUCCGACCAUUCAGUUGAUUGCUAUUCUUGUUUUUCGGCAUCUCUCCUUAGAAAAGAAGCCACCUGGUUCUGGCCGAUUCUUGGCCUAUAUCCGUGCCAUGACUGCAGAACAUCAUUACACCAGGUUUCCAUCCACGUAAAAGAAGAUGUAGCUUCCGCCAAUAACAAUUUGUAUUUCGGCCUUGAACAACAUUGCUGUUCCUGUAUGGCAGGGUAUGGAAAAACACAUUUAGUAAUGAGGAGGAGGAAUUGACUGGAGAAGUAACAGAAGCAGUUUGACACUAAGCCACAGUGGAAGCUUUCAGCAGUGUGUCUCGUGGGGGGUAUUGGACAUUUGUGAAUGCCAAAAUAUUAAGCAAGCAUUUCAGCUUUUGCUGUGUGUAGUGCACCGUCACGUAAAUGCUUUGAGAAAAGUGCAGUCCAUUUGCAAUUCCAGUUGAUUGCUUUGCAGUGCUGGCAACAACACCUGCAAGACUCGAAAAUGAAAGGUCUCACAGUUUUGGUCUUUUAUUUAUAUUGUAACUAUGAGUGAUAUAAAUAUUACUUGCAGUUUCUUCAAAAUCUGCAUCGUCUCACUGUCUCUCCUAGCUCCUGAAAAAUGCCGCACGAAAGGGUGGCCACAGUCUACUGAAGUCCAGCAACAACAGACCAAAUGGCAGCAGACUCUUGUACAUGUUUCCCCCCCCCCCCCCCCUCCCUGUACACUUUGUGCCAAGCAUGCUGCGAGAGAAACCUGAGCCUUUUAUUCUGCCCGCAUUACAUUAGGCCAUCCUCCACCACGGCAGACAGCUUGCAUAAAGGCUUAUGCAUAGGCACCACAAGUCCGAGCACAACAGCAGUGUGAACAAAAGAUACACGGGGUGCCCAAAGUGCACAGGGUCACUAGCAGGCGGGCCAAGCUGCUGUGUGAUUUCAGGUGCCUUUGCACACAGGUGGCUUGACAA
rnacentral:lncRNA from 1 species